CUUGCGUAACUUAACGAAAAUAAAUAUGUAAAGUUACUAACUUCUUUCAAAACUUUUAAAUACGAAUGACAAUUUAACGUGAUCCGCGUCUUAAGUAUUUUCCCUAUAGCCUUUAAUUGCGGGUAAUUUUGUAAUUAGGGCGAUCGUAAAGCACAUUCGUUUUAGUAAUUUAUUUAUAUAACACGUGAAAGGGAUUCCUCUGAACAUUGGGUGAAUGGAAGUGUUAUGUAAAAUAUGUACACAUGUACUGACUAAAUGGCGCCUCUGAUUUCAUAUAUUUAUGUUCUGAUAAUGUACUAAUGAUGAAGUUUUUGUUUAAUUUUUCUGUAUAUAGACCUUGUCCCGGCAAUAAAAAACGUGAAAAAAUUUAUUCAAUUUCGUGUUGUUCGAAAGUUAUGCGCGUACAUACAUUUCGGCGAUUGAUUUUCAAUUAUAUGUCGAUAGAUCGAUUAUUCAGUUGUGUUAUCCUCAGUUAACAAUGCAUAGUAAUCUACACUAAUAUUAUAAAGCUGAAAGAUUUCUAGUUUAAUAUAUUUCAUUUUUUAUUGAAAUACAAAACAUGCCCGUGACUUUUCUUGAAAUAAAAUGAAUUUUACAGGCGACUUAUUGGUGCAACGUUAAUAAAAAAUGAAUAACGAAAGUUUAUAUGCCUUUUCUGUCGUAUUCUUUAUUCUGUUAUUAAUAACUUGGGUGAUUUUUUAUUUGUCAAUAAUACAUUUUAUUUUGGUUCAAUAUAUUAUAAUAACGAUCAUCAGAAAUAAGGUUAAGCGAUCACAUUAUUUAAGCCUCAAAAAUCUUAAAAAGUUUUUAUUUUACAGAAAAACUGACAACUGAGGCACAAUAGGAAAUAUCUUGCACAAAAUAUGGAGCAGUCCCACUGGGGAAGGACCUCGAUCUGAAAGAAGAUCACAGGGUCGAUUUUUGAUAUUAUAUUGAAAAAUGUUUAGAAGAUCGCAGCUAAAUAAUGCUACUCUCAUGCAUUGUCG
rnacentral:misc_RNA from 1 species